AUUCGGGGAGACUAGGUUUCUACUUUUCUAAAAGACUAGCGUUCCCACACCGGGAGUCGAACCCGGGCCGCCUGGGUGAAAACCAGGAAUCCUAACCGCUAGACCAUGUGGGAGACGACGGUGACAGACUCUGCUAGGCUCGACAAAUUGAGCUGUUAUCACUGGCUUCCGCCCGCUCUAUCUCGCCAGCUCGCCAGCGUCAAACCUACUUGUGCGCCUGCGCCAACUCUGCGGCUGUUUAACCCUUUCCGACUUGCACAGAGGGAACUCGAAUUUCUCUUGUCUGCAGUCGCGCUUUUUGUGGUCUCAUGAGCCUCUUGGUCUUAGACGUCAGGCCGACAGCGAUGUAGCCCCUACAUUGUGUGAAUCAUUGUAAUUCCUCACGAGAGCUUUUGCAAAAUGCCAAAAGAAUGGCGUUUGCAUGUCGGAGCCUCUUUAGGCAGCAUGGACCGCGGGAAGCCUCAGAACCGCCGUCCCUGGACCUGCGGGUGUCCCCCUGUGCGCCACGGAUCCAGGCGGGCCGUGCCCUCUUUGCGGCGGUCAAGGCCGGCCCCAGGCAUCGUCCCGUCUCCGGAAAGCUGAUCUCUUCCUCUGAAGAAACAGAAACGGGAACGCGGGCCUCCUGGAAGCCUGGACAGAACAUCCAGGUUCUGUUGACCUAACGGCUAGAGAGGCUGGAUUUGGGCCGCUAAGAGCAGGCGGGGGUGGUUCCGAACGUGGCUUCUAAGCCGGGAGAAAGCCCCUUCCUGGAGGCCUUCCCGGUGCAUGGAAAUUCCUGUGGCUUCCAACCCCCUUGUGGACUGGAAGCUGCCCCUGGCCAGCCCAGCCAGCCGGGAGCGGCCCGGACGUUAGCCCAGGGCUGUGUGGGCGCCGGCAGCGGCUGAGGCGAGCGCUGGGGUCCUGGGGUCGUCGCUGGGGCUUCCUUCAGCCGCACGCAGGGGCUUUGCUGGCAGCGGACACGCGGGAGCCCGGGCGAGGGCUCGCUCUGGCCUGGCUCCCCACGUGCCCGGGGACCGAAGGAGGCCACAACGUGCGUUGUGAGGGUCACCGUCCGGAGGGGAGGAGCGAGGGAGGCCGCGGCGGGCACGACCCGACCUCGCGCAGGCGUGAGGCCUCCGGCCUGGCGGUGACCCUAGUCCAACGCCAUGAAGAUGGCGCGCGCUUGGAAGAGCCGGAAGCGUCGACUGCAGAUCUGCUGGGUGUGUGAGACGCGUCCCGGCGUCUUGGCGCAUUCAACUUCACAGUAUUUUAGGCAGAGUGGACAGUGAGAAAGAGACAGAGAGAAAGGUCUUCCUUUGCCGUUGGUUCACCUCCAAUGGCCGCCGCGCUGUGGCCGGCGCACCGCACUGAUCCGAAGGCAGGAUCCAGGCACUCUGGCACCCUGAAGCCGUCACCACGAAGUCCUCACCAGAGCCAGGCUGAGACCAGCUGCUUGCCCUUGCAUCUCCAGAAUCGUAAGCCAAAUAAACCUCUCUUCUUCAUAGUUACUCUGCCUAAUGAAAAACUGAGUAACACUGUUAGUAUCCUACAAGGCUUAAAGAAAAAUAAAUAAAUAAAGGUAACCUCCUGUCUGCCAGAGAGAAAUAAAAUAACUUGCUAUCAGAUAAUCAAUAGUGUACAAAUUAACAUCCCACUCUGCAGAGGCUGGGCGCUGAUGGACAGGAAGUGACCUCAGAAAGCGUCAGUUAACCAUGUGGUAGGAGUGCUGGACCUGCUCCAGCACCUGGUUCCUCAAACACUGUGGUUCUACAACUCACAGGAAUUAUGGAAAACAUCCAGCAGCCUCUGUUUGUGUCAGCUAUCCAUUAAUGUAACAAAUUAAAAUCAAAAAUUUAAACCUAUAAAUCCACUUAAAAACAUCAUAAAUCCAUCUACCUAUUAAUCCAACUAACAUGUUUAAAGAAAAUUCUAUUUUCUGAUUAAAAAAUUAGUGACACCAUUUUAGUUCUGCAAAUCAUUGGGAUUUCAAAAUAGUUUAUUGUUGGCAGUCAUCUCAGAGGUGAGAGCAACAAUACCAGGAUUAAGCAGUGAUGGGGUACAGGAAAAGUACCAAGUGUAUCUCUAAAACCUCCUAAGUAUAUCCUUAAUCUACUGCCUUAGAAAAUUCAAGAAAAUGAAAGAAUAGUCAAAGGCAGGUUUAACAUCACACAUCAUGUAACUUUUGGAAACUUCACUGUGCACUUGUAACAGAAUGAAAGUGAAAUAGGCAAAUCAUGUCUCAGAAUUACAAAAAAUAGUUUUAUAGACCUCAGACCACACUUUGACAAACAGCUACCCCAAAAUGACAUUGAAAUGGCGUGCAGCAACCGAUUUUCUUUGAAAUAAAGUUUCAGUAAGUUUUUUUAAACAUGAGGAGACUUCAAAAAGUUCAUGGAAAAAGAGAAUAAAAUGCUAAGUUUAUUUUGGUGCAAAAAAUCUUUUAUAUCCAUGCAUAUGAGGAGUUUUAGAAAUAAUUCAUGGAAACUGCAUACUAUGAAAAUACUAAGAAUGGAUUUCAAUUUUUUUUGGCACAUUUUUUGAACUAUCCUUGUAUAU